GACGAACGCUGGCGGCGUGCCUAAUACAUGCAAGUCGAACGAAGCUUUUUUAACUGGUGCUUGCACCGACUUAAACAACUGAGUGGCGAACGGGUGAGCAACACGUGGGUAACCUGCCCCAAAGCGGGGGAUAACAUUUGGAAACAGAUGCUAAUACCGCAUAACCACAGAAACCACAUGGUUUCUGUGUCAAAGAUGGUUUCGGCUAUCACUUUGGGAGGGACCCGCAGCGUAUUAGCUAGUUGGUAAGGUAAUGGCUUACCAAGGCAUGAUACGUAGCCGAACUGAGAGGUUGAUCGGCCACAUUGGGACUGAGACACGGCCCAAACUCCUACGGGAGGCAGCAGUAGGGAAUCUUCCACAAUGGACGAAAGUCUGAUGGAGCAACGCCGCGUGAGUGAAGAAGGUUUUCGGAUCGUAAAACUCUGUUGUCAGAGAAGAACGUGUGCGAGAGUAACUGUUCGCGCAGUGACGGUAUCUGGCCAGAAAGCCACGGCUAACUACGUGCCAGCCGCCGCCGUAA
rnacentral:rRNA from 1 species